rnacentral:rRNA from 1 species
AUUGAACGCUGGCGGCAUGCCUUACACAUGCAAGUCGAACGGCAGCACGGGGCAACCUGGUGGCGAGUGGCGAACGGGUGAGUAAUGCAUCGGAACGUACCUUUCAGUGGGGGAUAACGUAGCGAAAGUUACGCUAAUACCGCAUAUUCUGAGAGCAGGAAAGCAGGGGAUCGCAAGACCUUGCGCUGAUUGAGCGGCCGAUGUCAGAUUAGCUAGCUGGUGAGGUAAAGGCUCACCAAGGCGACGAUCUGUAGCGGGUCUGAGAGGAUGAUCCGCCACACUGGAACUGAGACACGGUCCAGACUCCUACGGGAGGCAGCAGUGGGGAAUUUUGGACAAUGGGGGCAACCCUGAUCCAGCCAUGCCGCGUGAGUGAAGAAGGCCUUCGGGUUGUAAAGCUCUUUCGGCCGGGAAGAAAUCGCACGGGCUAAUACCCUGUGUGGAUGACGGUACCGGAAUAAGAAGCACCGGCUAACUACGUGCCAGCCGCCGCUGUAAUAC